CGGCAAAAUGACUCCGUAACUUCGGAAUAACGAGGAUUUUAUAAAUUAUUUAUAGGAUUAAAAAAAUUAGAGAGUAGCGACUGUUUAAUAAAAACAACAAGACUCUGCUAAAUUGUAAAAUAAUGUAUAGGGUCUGACACCUGCCCAGCACUGUAAAGGUAAGAUUGAAAGUUAACGCUUUUGAUGAAAACUCCAGUAAACGGCGGCCGUAACCUUGACGGUCCUAAGGUAGCGAAAUUCCUUGUCAGGUAAGUUCUGACCUGCACGAAUGGUGUAACGACUGCUCUGCUGUCUCCGGUAUUGGCUCAGUGAAAUUGAAUUUUCUGUGAAGAUGCGGAAUAUUUAUGGUAAGACGGAAAGACCCCGUGCACCUUUACUAUAUUUAGAUAUUAGUUAAAAGAUAAUUUUGUUUUAGAAUAAGUGGGAGUUUAAAUAAACGUUCAUG
rnacentral:rRNA from 1 species